AGGGUAAUAGCUCAGUGGUAGAGUGCAUGCUUUGCAUACGUGAGGUCCUGGGUUCAAUCUCCAGUACCUCCA
rnacentral:tRNA from 1 species